AGAUUGCAGGCUGNAACCCGCCCUGCAUGAAGUCGGAAUUGCUAGUAAUCGCGGAUCAGCAUGCCGCGGUGAAUACGUUCCCGGGUCUUGUACACACCGCCCGUCACACCAUGGGAGUCGGGAAUGCCCGAAGUCAGUGACCCAACCUUUGGAGGGAGCUGCCGAAGGCAGGUCUGAUAACUGGGGUGAAGUCGUAACAAGGUAUC
rnacentral:rRNA from 1 species